CUCUUCAUCCGGUUGUAGCAGGAUGUCCCUCCUUAGGCCAUGAGUAACUGCUGAGGCAGGUGUGGUUUGGUUACAGUUACAAUCUUGGAGGAAAAGUUUAAUUUUGUUCUUUAGAUAUCUGGUGAUGUUUUUUCAAAGGCAUAUAUAAGGGACACCACAGACCACUGAUGUGUGCUUUCAACUAUUAAUUUAUAAGAAGUGUUUUUGAGAUAACCAGAAAUAGAGGAGUCAGAGUGGUCUAAAGGGAAAUGACUCAGGCAUCCUUUUGAAAAGAUACCAGCUAAUGAAACCGUUAUCUUUCUGACUGGCCCCAGGCUGAGGUUUUGCCAUGAGAGGUCUUUCAGUGUUAAUUUAACCAGGACAGUUGCUGUUUUAAAAGGGUUUGCUAGCCGGGCUGCCAGAUCUGACAGAAAGAGUAGCUGCCUCCCCUGAUGUGAUUUAAAGGGCAGUGAAAGUUCAGCCAGCCCCUGAUCUCCUCCCCAGUGGCCUUACUUCACUUGGAAAUGUUCAUGAUUAGAGAUACUCCAUUGGGCAAAGGCCUUGUCUCCAGAAGACACUAAUAAACAAGACUAUAUUUUAUCUGAAUUUAUCAUUAAUGCCCUUUCUGAAUUCAUGAGCAGAUGAGUGAGUUAGGCAACCAGCUGGAGCAAAGCCUGAUGAUUGAGACACGAGAUGGGUACACUUAUGAUGAGAAUGUCUGAAGCAAGAUCAAGAGAAACGCCACCUGGAACACAGCUGUGACUUGAUAAACACGUGAAAUAUUCUUUGGUGUGGUGAGGGGAAAACAGAUUUCUCAAAGGACACGCACCAUGGUGUAUGAGAGGACACUGGAGCCCAGCCAGCAUCUGACAUGCUGAAAUCAAAGUGCAGGUUGGGGUAAGGGGAAAGAUGUCACUCUCUUUCUUUGUCUAAGUAUAAAUUGGAGUGGAGGAAUGACCAGACUGUGUUGAUGGUACUGAUUUCGGAGCCAUCUUGAACCUCAGUAAAAAACCUAUUUCUGUGUUGCCAGAAAGCUCUCCAGCCAUCAACUUGCCUACAUGUGAGAAGGCCUCAUUAUCAGAAACCUCUGUGGAAACUCAGCAUCUACCUUUGGCUGGUCUUGUUUCUUGUACUCCUAGAAUUUUCAGAAUGUUCUCCAAAGGGAUUGUUUUGCUUGCCGAUAAAAAGAGACACUUGGGAGCACCAUACUCUCUCCUAUUCCUCUGAAUAUCAUGUUUCCUUAUGACACCUGAAACUCUGAUGCCUUCUGGGUCCAUGAAAGCAGUGAGAUGAGCACAGGAAACCAUGCUGAGGAUGGUUGAGCAAAAAGGUGACAUUGAGCCACUGGAUUAACCUGCCCAGAAACAGGAUAUCUUCAGAUUUCUUGUUAAGUAAGAAAAUGUAAUUUCAUUGAUUCUAAGUUACACUUUCUUUUAUUAGUUCAACAUCUCUGA
rnacentral:lncRNA from 1 species